AGGAGGUGGAGGUUGCAGGGAGCCAAGAUUGUGCCACUGCACUCCAGCCUGGGUGACAAGAGCAAGACUCAGUCUCACAUAAAUAAAUAAACAAACAAACAGUGUAUGUGUUUUAUAGACGUUUUCCUACCCAAAGAAAAACAAGUGCUUGGCUGGGCGCGGUGGCUCACACCUGUAAUCCCAGCACUUCGGGAGGCUGAGGCGGGCGGAUUGUGAGGUCAGGAGAUCGAGACCAUCUUGGCUAACACAGUGAAACCCCGUCUCU
rnacentral:lncRNA from 1 species